CAUCUCAAAAUACUCAGCCAAUAGGCCUAUAAUUGCUCUUUGUAUGACAGGAGGCCGAUGAAAAUAUUGCCAUGGAUGGGUCUGAAAGAACUGAGACUGUGGUCGAGGAAGCGGCGGGUACAUCAGGGUCGCAAUAUCAGCAUUUGACUACUAAAGAAUUAUAUCGACUUCAUCUUCAGCGGGAAAUCGCUAAGGCUGAUUUGCAAAUGGAGUACACGAAGCUGCUGAUAGAGGUAAAAAAAAGGAGGUUGGGCAGAAAUUCAACGCGGACAUGAUAUUGCUAUUCAAUGUCUAAUUAUAUUAUUUUUCCUCCCUCAGCAACUAAAGAAUAAAAAUGAUUGAUAAAAACAGUGUUUGGUGUUUUGUUUUUUUUAAUUGAAGUGAUUUUGGCAAAUGUGUUCCUGCAUCCUUUGUCCAGCCCUUGAAUCCAUUUGGGGAAUGUGUUCCUCCUCGAGGAACGGGUCAAAGGGGGGAGGCAUCUCUUUGCGCAGGGUGGCGAUAUUGUGGAGGACGGCGCAUGCAACAAUUAUGUCGCAUGCCCGUUCCGGACAAACCCUUAGUCCACGUAGGCAUUGAAAUCUGGACUUCAAUAUCCCGAAUGUGUUUUCAAUCUUAACGCGGGUUCUGCUGUGUGCCCGGUUUAAUGUCGUCUGUGGUCCAGGAGCGGGAUUAGGGUACGGGGUGAUGAGCGUCGGGAGGCAUGGAUACCCUCGAUCUCCUAGGAUCCACCCAUCGAAUUGCCCUGCGAUCAAAUACAAACUUUGAGCUAUCUUGCACAAGCACAAUUAUAUGAGGUCUAUGAUAUGUUCAGAAUGCAACUCACCCUCUUGAAAUUUACGACUCAAAUUGGAUUCACGAUACAUCCUUGCAUCGUGGACUGAACCAGGCCAUUUUGCCUCUACAUUGGCGAUCAUGUGGGAAGCAUCACAUAUCAUCUAGUGAUAAAAGAAAAAGAUCGACAGCGAUUAACAAACCAUGGAGAUAUUGGAAAUAUCCAAUAUAGGCAGUGUACACUUACCUGAACAUUUAUACUGUGAUAGCCUUUCCUGUUCACAUAAUCAGCCUCAUUUAUAGAUGGGGCCAGUAUGGGCACUUGUGUGCCAUCAAUGCACCCAAUUACAUUUUGAAAUCCUGAAAUAAAACACCCAGAUGAAAAGUCAACGAGGAUAAUUUCGGUGCCAUUUGGGAACACGUAAAGUAGAUAAUGCUGACCUGCAAGUUGGUGAAACUCCAUUUUCAUGCGUCUCGUGGGUUUAUGGCCUGGAAAUACGAUGAAGUUCCGCAACAACCGCUUCAGCGCAAGACAAACUUUACGUACUGAGCGGCAGACCGUGGCUUUGCCUAUGUGCUCAGCAUCUCCUACGCUGUACU